rnacentral:rRNA from 1 species
UACGGAGGGUGCAAGCGUUAUCCGGAUUCACUGGGUUUAAAGGGUGCGUAGGUGGGUUUGUAAGUCAGUGGUGAAAUCUCCAGGCUUAACCUGGAAACUGCCAUUGAUACUAUAGAUCUUGAAUUUUCUGGAGGUAAGCGGAAUAUGUCAUGUAGCGGUGAAAUGCUUAGAUAUGACAUAGAACACCAAUUGCGAAGGCAGCUUGCUACAGGAAUAUUGACACUGAGGCACGAAAGCGUGGGGAUCAAACAGG